UACAGAGGGGGCAAGCGUUGUUCGGAAUUACUGGGCGUAAAAGGCGCGUAGGCGGCCUGUUAAGUCGAACGUGAAAUCCCUGGGCUCAACCCAGGAACUGCGUCCGAUACUGGCAGGCUUGAAUCCGGGAGAGGGAUGUGGAAUUCCAGGUGUAGCGGUGAAAUGCGUAGAUAUCUGGAGGAACACCGGUGGCGAAGGCGGCAUCCUGGACCGGUAUUGACGCUGAGGCGCGAAAGCCAGGGGAGCAAACGGG
rnacentral:rRNA from 1 species